AGCUCCAAUAGCGUAUAUUAAAGUUGUUGCAGUUAAAAAGCUCGUAGUUGAAUUUUGGGCCUGGCUGGGUGGUCUUGCCGCAAGGCAAGCACUGCUCUGGUUGGGUCUUUCCUUCUGGGGAACCAGCGUGCCCUUAAUUGAGUGCGUUGGGGAUCCAGGACUUUUACUUUGAAAAAAUUAGAGUGUUUAAAGCAGGCUUACGCUUGAAUACAUUAGCAUGGAAUAAUAGAAUAGGACUUUGGUUCUAUUUUGUUGGUUUCUAGGACCGAAGUAAUGAUUAAUAGGGAUAGUUGGGGGCAUUAGUAUUUAAUUGUCAGAGGUGAGAUUCUUGGAUUUAUGAAAGACUAACUUCUGCGAAAGCAUUUGCCAAGGAUGUUUUCA
rnacentral:rRNA from 1 species